CAUGUGCCAGCAAUGCCCCUCUGCCAUGUACAUUGACCAAACCGGACCGUCUCUACGCAAAAAAAUAAAUGGACACAAAUCUGACAUCAGGAAUCAUAACAUUCAAAAACCAGUAGGAGAACACUUCAGUCUCUCUGGUCACUCAAUAACAGAC